UAAUGGCUCACCAAGGGGAGGAUGGGUAGCCGACCUGAGAGGGUGAUUGGCCACACUGGGAUUGAGACACGGCCCAGAUUCUUACGGGAGGCAGCAGUAGGGAAUCUUCCGCAAUGGACGAAAGUCUGACGGAGCAACGCCGCGUGAGUGAUGAAGGUUUUCGGAUCGUAAAGCUCUGUUGUUAGGGAAGAACAAGUGCGAGAGUAACUGCUCGCACCUUGACGGUACCUAACCAGAAAGCCACGGCUAACUACGUGCCAGCAGCCGCGGUAAUACGUAGGUGGCAAGCGUUGUCCGGAAUUAUUGGGCGUAAAGGGCUCGCAGGCGGUUUCUUAAGUCUGAUGUGAAAGCCCCCGGCUCAACCGGGGAGGGUCAUUGGAAACUGGGAAACUUGAGUGCAGAAGAGGAGAGUGGAAUUCCACGUGUAGCGGUGAAAUGCGUAGAGAUGUGGAGGAACACCAGUGGCGAAGGCGACUCUCUGGUCUGUAACUGACGCUGAGGAGCGAAAGCGUGGGGAGCGAACAGGAUUAGAUACCCUGGUAGUCCACGCCGUAAACGAUGAGUGCUAAGUGUUAGGGGGUUUCCGCCCCUUAGUGCUGCAGCUAACGCAUUAAGCACUCCGCCUGGGGAGUACGGUCGCAAGACUGAAACUCAAAGGAAUUGACGGGGGCCCGCACAAGCGGUGGAGCAUGUGGUUUAAUUCGAAGCAACGCGAAGAACCUUACCAGGUCUUGACAUCCUCUGACAACCCUAGAGAUAGGGCUUUCCCUUCGGGGACAGAGUGACAGGUGGUGCAUGGUUGUCGUCAGCUCGUGUCGUGAGAUGUUGGGUUAAGUCCCGCAACGAGCGCAACCCUUGAUCUUAGUUGCCAGCAUUUAGUUGGGCACUCUAAGGUGACUGCCGGUGACAAACCGGAGGAAGGUGGGGAUGACGUCAAAUCAUCAUGCCCCUUAUGACCUGGGCUACACACGUGCUACAAUGGACAGAACAAAGGGCUGCGAGACCGCAAGGUUUAGCCAAUCCCAUAAAUCUGUUCUCAGUUCGGAUCGCAGUCUGCAACUCGACUGCGUGAAGCUGGAAUCGCUAGUAAUCGCGGAUCAGCAUGCCGCGGUGAAUACGUUCCCGGGCCUUGUACACACCGCCCGUCACACCACGAGAGUUUGCAACACCCGAAGUCGGUGAGGUAACCUUUAUGAGCCAGCCGCCG
rnacentral:rRNA from 1 species